CCUACGGGUGGCAGCAGUAGGGAAUCUUCCACAAUGGGCGCAAGCCUGAUGCAGCAACACCGCGUGAGUGAAGAAGGGUUUCGGCUCGUAAAGCUCUGUUGUUGGAGAAGAACGUGCGUGUGAGUAACUGUUCACGCAGUGACGGUAUCCAACCAGAAAGUCCCGUCCAACUACGUGCCAGCAGCCGCGGUAAUACGUAGGGGGCAAGCGUUAUCCGGAUUUAUUGGGCGUAAAGCGAGCGCAGGCGGUCGCGUAGGUCUGAUGUGAAAGCCUUCGGCUUAACCGCAGAAGUGCAUCGGAAACUGGGAGGCUUGAGUGCGGAAGAGGAAAGUGGAACUCCAGGUGUAGCGGUGGAAUGCGUAGAUAUAUGGAAGAACACCAGUGGCGAAGGCGGCUGGCUGGACUGCAACUGACGCUGAGGCUCGAAAGCAUGGGUAGCGAACAGGAUUAGAUACCCGAGUAGUC
rnacentral:rRNA from 1 species